AUUUCAGUCGAAAGGAAGAGUCGUCCGCAUCAUUAAUGGGGUGGAAAACGUGUGGAUUAAAAAUUCUGAUCCCUCUAUGCAGCCCUAUUGCUUGGAACCGGAAUGUUCAGAACACAGAACCGAAUAAACAAAGGACUCAUCCGUUGUGGCUUAGCAGAAGGUUGUCAGUUUCCAGGUCGCUCU